rnacentral:siRNA from 1 species
UAUCGGUUUGGGUUUAGAAAGUAC